GUGAGGAAUAUUGGUCAAUGGGCGAGAGCCUGACGAAGCGACGCCGCGUGAACGAUGAAGGCCUUCGGGUUGUAAAGUUCUGUCGCCUUAGAACAAGAAGCGCUGGAUAACACCCAGCGACGAUGAGGGUAUAAGGAGAGGAAGCACCGGCUAAUUCCGUGCCAGCAGCUGCGGUAAUACGGAAGGUGCAAGCGUUAGUCGGAAUUACUGGGCGUAAAGCGUGCGUAGGUGGUGGUUUAAGUCCGUUGUGAAAGCCCUGGGCUCAACCUGGGAAUUGCAGUGGAUACUGGAUCACUAGAGUGUGGUAGAGGGAUGCGGAAUUUCUGGUGUAGCAGUGAAAUGCGUAGAGAUCAGAAGGAACAUCCGUGGCGAAGGCGGCAUCCUGGGCCAACACUGACACUGAGGCACGAAAGCGUGGGGAGCAAACAGGAUUAGAAACCCCAGUAGUCC
rnacentral:rRNA from 1 species